ACUCCUACGGGAGGCAGCAGUGGGGAAUAUUGCACAAUGGGGGAAACCCUGAUGCAGCCAUGCCGCGUGUGUGAAGAAGGCCUUCGGGUUGUAAAGCACUUUCAGUAGGGAGGAAGGUAGUGUAGUUAACACCUGCAUUAUUUGACGUUACCUACAGAAGAAGCACCGGCUAACUCCGUGCCAGCAGCCGCGGUAAUACGGAGGGUGCGAGCGUUAAUCGGAAUUACUGGGCGUAAAGCGCAUGCAGGCGGCCUGUUAAGUCAGAUGUGAAAGCCCGGGGCUUAACCGUCGGAAUUGCAUUUGAAACUGGCAGGCUAGAGUCUUGUAGAGGGGUUAGAAUUUCGAGUGUAGCGUGAAAUGCGUAGAGAUCUAGAAGGAAUACCGAGUGGCGAACGGCGGCCCCCGUAGGACAAAGACUGACGCUCAGAUGCGAAAGCGUGGGA
rnacentral:rRNA from 1 species